AGUGAACGCUGGCGGUAGGCCUAACACAUGCAAGUCGAACGGCAGCACAGUAAUAGCUUGCUCUUACGGGUGGCGAGUGGCGGACGGGUGAGGAAUACAUCGGAAUCUUCUUUUUCGUGGGGGAUAACGCAGGGAAACUUACGCUAAUACCGCAUACGACCUACGGGUGAAAGCAGGGGAUCUUCGGACCUUGCGCGAUUGAAUGAGCCGAUGUCGGAUUAGCUAGUUGGCGGGGUAAAGGCCCACCAAGGCGACGAUCCGUAGCUGGUCUGAGAGGAUGAUCAGCCACACUGGAACUGAGACACGGUCCAGACUCCUACGGGAGGCAGCAGUGGGGAAUAUUGGACAAUGGGCGCAAGCCUGAUCCAGCCAUACCGCGUGGGUGAAGAAGGCCUUCGGGUUGUAAAGCCCUUUUGUUGGGAAAGAAAAGCAGCAGGUUAAUACCCCGCUGUUCUGACGGUACCCAAAGAAUAAGCACCGGCUAACUUCGUG
rnacentral:rRNA from 1 species